CUGCUCUAUGAUUUCUUUAAAUGGCAGCCUUAGCGUGAUGGCGUAAAAGUAGCGUAAGUGAUUUGUUUUUUUAAUGAUUUCGUGUAUGAAUGGAGUUUUUAGUGAUUUUUUUGUUUUUUUUUUAUUUGAAAUUAUUUUUUUUUUUAAAAAUUAUUUUUUAGGAUAUUACAAAGAUAAGUCUUCGGAAAUUUUUUUUUAUUUUGUUGAUUUGAUUUUUGCAUUUUAAUUUUUUCUUGGGGAUGGAUUUUAUAAAAUUUUUUAUUACUAUUUUUAUUAUUUUAAAUUACUCCGGAGUUAACAGGGCUGUAGACACAUAAUUAGAAUUUUAUAUUAGUGUGCUGCGCUACAUCGAUGUUGUAUAUUUUUUAUAAAGGGGGAGAGAAUUUUUUUGGUUUGAGACUGUUCUUCUUGUAUAAAAAUUAAACUUGAUAUUAGUUUAGUUCGUCGUGAGACAGAGCGGUUUAUCUUGUGUAUCUUUUGUAUUUAUUGGGAUUAGUACGAAAGGAAAA